rnacentral:rRNA from 1 species
AGCAGCCGCGGUAAUUCCAGCUCCAAUAGCGUAUAUUAAAGUUGUUGCAGUUAAAAAGCUCGUAGUUGAAUUUCGGGGUCAGUAGGUUGGUCGUGCCACGGGUAUGUACUGGUCUCACUGAUUCCUCCUUCCUGAUGAACCGUAAUGCCAUUAAUUUGGUGUUGCCGGGAAACUGGACUGUUACUUUGAAAAAAUUAGAGUGUUUAAAGCAGGCUAACGCUUGAAUACAUUAGCAUGGAAUAAUGAAAUAGGACGUUCGAUCUUAUUUUGUUGGUUUCUAGGAUUGACGUAAUGAUUAAUAGGGAUAGUUGGGGGCAUUAGUAUUCAAUUGUCAGAGGUGAAAUUCUUGGAUUUAUUGAAGACUAACUACUGCGAAAGCAUUUGCCAAGGAUGUUUUCAUUAAUCAAGAACGAAAGUUAGGGGAUCGAAGACGAUCAGAUACCGUCGUAGUCUUAACCAUAAACUAUGCCGACUAGGGAUCGGAUGAUGUUAAUUUUUUAAUGACUCAUUCGGCGCCUUA